AGGAGAGUUUGAUCCUGGCUCAGGACGAACGCUGGCGGCGUGCCUAACACAUGCAAGUCGAACGGAACUACUAGGAAGGAUCUCUUCGGAGAAACGGAAUUUUAGUUUAGUGGCGGACGGGUGAGUAACGCGUGAGUAACCUGCCUUUGAGAGGGGAAUAACGUUCUGAAAAGAACGCUAAUACCGCAUAACAUAUAUUGAUCGCAUGGUCGGUAUAUCAAAGAUUUAUCGCUCAAAGAUGGACUCGCGUCCGAUUAGCUUGUUGGCGGGGUAACGGCCCACCAAGGCGACGAUCGGUAGCCGGACUGAGAGGUUGAACGGCCACAUUGGGACUGAGACACGGCCCAGACUCCUACGGGAGGCAGCAGUGGGGGAUAUUGCGCAAUGGGGGCAACCCUGACGCAGCAACGCCGCGUGAAGGAUGAAGGUUUUCGGAUUGUAAACUUCUUUUGUCAGGGACGAAAUCUGACGGUACCUGACGAAUAAGCUCCGGCUAACUACGUGCCAGCAGCCGCGGUAAUACGUAGGGAGCAAGCGUUGUCCGGAUUUACUGGGUGUAAAGGGUGCGUAGGCGGCUAAGCAAGUCAGAUGUGAAAUCUAUGGGCUCAACCCAUAAACUGCAUUUGAAACUGCAUAGCUUGAGUGAAGUAGAGGCAGGCGGAAUUCCCCGUGUAGCGGUGAAAUGCGUAGAGAUGGGGAGGAACACCAGUGGCGAAGGCGGCCUGCUGGGCUUUAACUGACGCUGAGGCACGAAAGCGUGGGUAGCAAACAGGAUUAGAUACCCUGGUAGUCCCCU
rnacentral:rRNA from 1 species